UGGCUGCUGGGUCUUUUGGCUUGUAGUUACCAGCCGUGUUCGGUUUGGGUGAUAUGUUAUCUCGGCGCCUUCUUGCUCAACAUCUGGACAUGUCCAUGUCCAUGCUUGCGGGACCACGUGGCUAUGGAUGACCGAAUGCUAUGCCGCGUGGCUGACUGACUACGUUAGAUGAUGCCUGUCCAUUAGGACGUUCCCAAAGACAACUGUGUUAAGGUCCCUGCUUUCUGGAAUGCUAUGGACAAGAGCAUAUGAUGCAGGAGGUUUAUUGAAAAAUCCUGGUGGUUUGUGCAUCAUGAUGAAGGUGGGAAAUUACUGGAGUAAGGGACGUGGGUGUUGGCUAACUUGACAUGCACACGCAUUGCCAUGGCUUAUGAAGGUUGUGCCCAAGACCAUGGCAUGGGUUCAACAAGUAGCAUUUUUACAUUGAUAAUAUUGAAAAAUAUUCAACAAGUUGUAUGAAGGUUAAAAUGCCCUGUUUCUAAAUAAAGUUGGUUUCUCAACA